rnacentral:rRNA from 1 species
AUUGAACGCUGGCGGCAUGCCUUACACAAGCAAGUCGAACAGCAGCACGGGGCAACCUGGUGGCGAGUGGUGAACGGGUGAGUAAUGCAUCGGAACGUACCUUUCAGUGGGGGAUAACGUAGCGAAAGUUACGCUAAUACCGCAUACUCUGUGAGCAGGAAAGCAGGGGAUCGCAAGACCUCGCGCUGAUUGAGCGACCGAUGUCAGAUUAGCUAGUUGGUGAGGUAAAGGCUCACCAAGGCGACGAUCUGUAGCGGGUCUGAGAGGAUGAUUCGCCACACUGGAACAGAGACACGGUCCAGACUCCUACGGGAGGGAGCAGUGGGGAAAUUUGGACAAGGAGGGCAACCGUGAUCCAGCCAUGCCGCGUGAGUGAAGAAGGCCUUCGGGUUGUAAUGCUCUUUCGGACGAGAAGAAAUCGCACGAGCUAAUACCCUGUGUAGAUGACGGUACCGGAAUAAGAUGCACCGGCUAACUACGUGCCAGCCGCCGCAGUAAAAC